rnacentral:rRNA from 1 species
ACUCAAAGGAAUUGACGGGGGCCCGCACAAGCGGUGGAACAUGUGGUUUAAUUCGAAGCUACGCGAAAAACCUCACCAGGGCUUGACAUACAGGAAGUAGUGAAGUGAAAGCGGAACGACCCGUUAAGUCGGGAGCCUGUACAGGUGCUGCAUGGCUGUCGUCAGCUCGUGUCGUGAGAUGUUGGGUUAAGUCCCGCAACGAGCGCAACCAUUAUCCUUUGUUGCAACUCUAUUCCGGCUUGCCGGGGUAGAGGCACUCUAAGGAGACUGCCCGGGAUAACCGGGAGGAAGGUGGAGAUGACGUCAAGUCAGUACGGCCUUUAUGCCCUGGGCGACACACGUGUUACAAUGGGUGGGACAAAGGGUUGCCAACCCGCGAGGGGGAGCUAAUCUCAAAAACCCACCCCCAGUUCAGAUCGCAGUCUGCAAUCCGACUGCGUGAAGCCGGAAUCGCUAGUAAUGGGAGAUCAGCACGCUCCCGUGAAUACGUUCCCGGGCCUUGCACACACCGCCCGU